rnacentral:lncRNA from 1 species
AUUCCAGACUGAGCUCGUCUACGCGUUGCAGGGUUUGGGGGGCAUUUUGUUGGGGGUGCAGGGCAUUUAGUUUUCUUUACCACGAAAUCAUGGUGCAACUAAUGAAAUUAUAUUUGUCCUCACAUCUCGUUGUUCUACUUUUCCCCACUGCAAGUCUUAACCCCUUGAGGAAAAAUCUGUUUUCUUUCAUCCGUUUCAUAAAAGGCUGCAAUAUUCAGAAAGGUACAAACACAAAGUCAUCUAUCUGCUUUUCAACAAAUACCAAGGCUGUCAUUAGGCAUUUGCAUCUCCUAUCAGUGUUAACACUUGGAGAGAUUAAUUAGUUAUUUCAGGAUGCAAAGUACCUGUAUCUAACUACGAAAAUCCUGCUAAAGAACUGAGUUCACCUUAAUAGUUUCAAAAAUAAUGCAUUAAUACUGUCCCUCAAAGCAUCCUUCAUUUCUCACUUGCCUUAGUCAUCAGCACUUCUCCAGGAUGUACGUUUUUAAUAUAAAAAAUAAGGUAAAAUAUGUCUCUAAUUUUUUUUCUGAAAAAUCGCCAACAUCUGAACUAAAUACUGCAUUAAAAAGGAGAGGCACAAAAAUUACAUAACCAGUUUUAACAUUAUAUUCUUCUUGGGCUAGGAAUUAAGUCAUCGCCACCACCUGACGCGUGUAACCAAUCUGCUGAGAGCAGAACAAGCGCCCCUCCUCACCACCCCCCAGAACUGGUCCGAAACAGGAUUGAACCGCUUCUAACAAAGGGUGGAAACUUAGAAAAACAAGCCUAGAGUCUCCUAUAUUUCCACAAUGUAACCAUUUAAACAAUAGAUUGGAAAUCUCAGGACUCCUUCUCCUUUUGACAACCCUUUAUCUCUCUCUUCUAACCAAAAAUCAAAUCCAGUGUGCCCUAUACUUUUCAAUUCCAUUUGACUGGCAUGGGUUUCAUUGAAUGCACGUUCCAAAGUUAGACAUGAUGCUCGGAAAAGAAAAUUACUGAUCCUAAAUGGCUUCUAAACCUGACUCGAUACCUAUCAUAAUGACAGAUAGUCAUUCCUUUAAAAUAAGGAAUGCUGGGUGUAAAUUUUUAAAGGAAUGGUAAAGAAUAGAGAAAAAACACGUGGGGUGUUGAUACCAUAUGUCAAAAUAAGCCACAGAAAUCUUUUAUGAAAGAACAGUCAUCAAUUAUUUAAAGUCUUUUGCAUUCCAAUAUUAAAAAUGAAACACACCCAUUAAGUCUCUUAAAAAUGUUAUUACAUUUCUUGAUCGAAGUUCAGUUUUUACAUCUUAGGUUGCAAGUAAAAGGGCAAAAAUCUAAGACUGCAGCUUUUACCAAUUCAUUUGAAAAUAUAUUAGUAAAACGACUGAAUUGGAUUCAAACAGAAUUUAUAAGUAAGGUGCAAAUGGACUACAAGUGCGUGUGGCACAGACCGAGCCGGGUACAGAGGUAGCUGAAUAAGUGUAGUUUGCAGUCACUUUGCAGAUGCCUGCAUGCAUUACGGCUUAACACACGAUGAACGUCAAGGAGAAUCCAAACCUUCCAACUUUGCUAACCUUUCUCAAACUGCUUAGUUAUGCUAGGAGUAGAAUCACGUUAAUUCAGAAAACUGAAAAGGUACGUUUCCAAAGAAAAUGAGUCCAAUGACUUAUGAAUAACAAAAACUUACCUCUUUCGUGCCCAAUUAAGAUGUCUUUAUGGUUGAAAUACUCUACUUCUUCAGUGUAAUUCUGUGUAUAGGCAGUAUUGGAGCCGGCGUUUCUAGAUU